UCAGGAUGAACGCUAGCGGCAGGCUUAACACAUGCAAGUCGGGGGGCAGCGGGAUGUAGCAAUACAUUGCCGGCGACCGGCGGAUGGGUGCGUAACGCGUAUGCAACCUACCUUAUACAGGGGAAUAACCUUUCGAAAGGGAGACUAACACCCCAUAGUAUUGAUUUAAGGCAUCUUAGAUUAAUUAAAUAUUUAUAGGUAUAAGAUGGGCAUGCGUAUGAUUAGCUAGUUGGUAAGGUAACGGCUUACCAAGGCGACGAUCAUUAGGGGUUCUGAGAGGAAGGUCCCCCACACUGGUACUGAGACACGGACCAGACUCCUACGGGAGGCAGCAGUGAGGAAUAUUGGUCAAUGGGCGCAAGCCUGAACCAGCCAUGCCGCGUGCAGGAAAAGACGGCCUUAUGGGUUGUAAACUGCUUUUACAUAAGACUAACCGUAUAUUUGCGAAUAUACCUGAAUGUAUUAUGAGAAUAAGGAUCGGCUAACUCCGUGCCAGCAGCCGC
rnacentral:rRNA from 1 species